rnacentral:rRNA from 1 species
UAAGUAGGUGGCAAGCGUUAUCCGGAUUUAUUGGGUGUAAAGGGCGUGUAGGCGGGAGCGCAAGUCAGAUGUGAAAACUCAGGGCUCAACCCUGAGCCUGCAUUUGAAACUGUGUUUCUUGAGUGCUGGAGAGGCAAUCGGAAUUCCAUGUGUAGCGGUAAAAUGCGUAGAUAUAUGGAAGAACACCAGUGGCGAAGGCGGCCGCCUGGCCUGUUGCUGACGCUGAGGCACGAAAGCGUGGGGAGCAAAUAGG